rnacentral:rRNA from 1 species
UCAACGAGGAUCAAUUGGAGGGCAAGUCUGGUGCCAGCAGCCGCGGUAAUUCCAGCUCCGUUAGCGUAUAUUAAAUUUGUUGCAGUUAAAAAGCUCGUAGUUGAAUUUCUGGUAGGAGUGACCUGGCCUUUGACGAAUGUCAAUGUUUGCUGUGUGUCAUCUCUGGCCAUCCUCGGCCUGCUUUUAGUAGGCCGUCAUUUACUGUAAAAAAAUUAGAGUGUUUCAAGCAUUUUGUAUGAAAAGAAUAUAUUAGUAUGGAAUAAUAAGAUAGGACUUUGGUGCUAUUUUGUUGGUUUGCACACCAAAGUAAUGAUGAAUAGGGACAGUUGGGGGUAUUCGUAUUUAAUUGUCAGAGGUGAAAUUCUUGGAUUUAUGAAAGACGAACUACUGCGAAGGCAUUUACCAAGGAUGUUUUCAUUGAUCAAGAACGAAAGUAUGGGGAUCGAAGAUGAUUAGAUACCAUCGUAGUCUAUACUUCAAACUAUGCCGACUUGCGAUUGUCUGGUGGUGUUUUUUGGCCCCAGGCAGCAGCACAUGAGAAAUCAAAGUCUUUGGGUUCCGGGGGGAGUAUGGUCGCAAGAUUGAAACUUAAAGGAAUUGACGGAAGGGCACCACCAGGUGUGGAGCCUGCGGCUUAAUUUGACUCAACACGGGGAAACUUACCAGGUCCAGACAUAGGAAGGAUUGACAGAUUGAGAGCUCUUUCUUGAUUCUAUGGGUGGUGGUGCAUGGCCGUUCUUAGUUGGUGGAGCGAUUUGUCUGGUUAAUUCCGUUAACGAACGAGACCUCAGCCUGCUAACUAGCUAUGCGGAGGUGACCCUCCGCGGCCAGCUUCUUAGAGGGACUAUGGCCGCUUAGGCCAAGGAAGUUUGAGGCAAUAACAG